rnacentral:lncRNA from 1 species
GUAGAUAGAUGCUCCUUAUCAGGUGGAGAAGUUUCCCUUCUAUUUCUAGUUUGCUGAAUUUUUUAAAAAUUAGGAGUAGAUGUUGAGUUUUGUCAAUUGCUUUUUUAUAUGUCUGUUGAGCUGAUUUUGUUUGUUUGAUUUUUGGUUUAUUAUGGUGAAAUGCACUUGUUGCUUUUGGAAUGUUAAAUCAACUUUGGGUUCUUAGGAUAAUCCUUGGCUAGUCAUGAUGUAUUAUCUUUUUAAUAUGUUCUUAAACUCUAUUUUCUGUAAUUUUGUUUAGAAUUUUUGCAUCCUUGUUCAUGAGAUCACUAAUUUGUAGUUUUCCUUUCUCAUAUUGUCUUUCGUCUAUUGUCUGAUUUUGAAAUCAAGGUAAUGUUGGCCUUAUAAAAUGAGUUCAGAAACAUUUCCUUCUCUUCAGUCAUCGUAAUCAAUUUAUAUAUAGUUGUUAUUUCUUCCUUGUGCAUUUACUAUAACCAGUGAAGCCAUCUGGGCCUGAAGUGUUUUUUUGUUUGUUUGUUUUUAAUGUUGUUGCAUCUUCUUUUCCAAUAUAUUAGCCUUUUAUUUAUUUCGUAUUUCUGAAAAAGUUUUUAUUUGGCUUUUGUUUUUGAAAGAUACUUCUGUUGGAUUAUAGAAUCCUAGAAUGAUAGUUUUUCCUAUGAAAUUUUUCAAGAAUGUUACUCCACUAUCUUCUCGCUUGCAUUAUUUCUGAUGAGAAAUCUCACCUUUACCUUUGUUCCUCUGUGUGUGAUAUAUGUUUAUUUCCCUCUGGUUGCUUUCAAAAUAAUUUCCUUAUCACUGAUAUUGUGCAGUUUUAUUAUGGUAUACCUCAUGUUUUUGUAUGCUUAGAGUUUUCUUCAGCAUAUACUUUGGGGGAAGUUCUGGAUAUUAUUUCUUCAAAUAUAUAUGUAAUUUGUCUCCCUUUCUUCACAAGUACAAGAUACAUGUAUGUUAGACUGCUUGGAGGUGCUCCACAGCUCACAGAUGCUCAUUUUGUUUUGCUUAAAUUUUAAAAAAUUUCUUUCAAUUAGGAUAUUUUCUAUAUUUUUAAGUUCAUUCAUUUCUCCUUUAGUGUCUAAUCUCCAUGCACCCCAACCAAUGUGUUUUUUUUCUUUUUUGACAUUGUAGUUUUUAAUCUCUGAAAGUUGAAAUUGGUUAUUUUUUAUAUCUUCCAUGUCUCUACUUAACUUUUUGAACAUAGACAGUAAAAUUAUAUGACAUUUUAAUUUUUUUCAGAUUGAAUUUUUUUAAUGUAGCUUAACAUACAGAAAUUAAUUCAUGCAGAUUUGUUUUCGUUUUGCACUUUACUAGAAAAAAAUUUGUGACAAAACAUACAUUUGCAGGCAACUAUUAAUAUACCAACUAAACAGAAGCCAGAUUUAAUGCAUACUAAAUUCAUGAGCAAGAACUCAGCUGAAAAAAAGAUGGAAUUCACUUGGGGUAUGGCUCAAAGUUAGCAUAACUAGGAAGUCCAGAAUCUUCUGUUCUCAAAUUAGUCUAACUUGGUUACUGCAUAACUCUUUUUUUUUUUAAUUACUCAAUGAAUUUAUUACAUUUGUAGUUGUACAAUAAUCAUCACAAAUCCAAUUUUAUAAUGACAUUUUUAAUGCUCUUUUCUGCAAACACUAGCAUCUGUGUUCUGGAUGGUUUUGAUUGAUUUGCUUUUAUUUAAUGGUCGUAUGUUCCUACUUUUUUCCAUCCCUGGUAAUUUUUAUUAGAUGCUAGACAUUGUAAAUUUUAUCUUUUCAAAUGAUGGAUAAUUUUUGUAUUUCUGUAAAUGCUCUUUAGCUUUGUUUUGGAACAUGGCUAAUUUACUGGGAAGUAGUUUAAUCCUUUUAUGUCUUGCUGUUCAGAUUUGUUAGGCAGACUCAGGGGAGUGAUCAAUUUAUGGCUAAUUAUUGCUCACUAUUGAGGCAAGAACUUUCUGAGUAUCCCACCUAAUGCAUGAUGUGUUAUGAGGCCUUCCUGGCUGAAUGUAUGAAUAGGUACUAUUCCUCAAUGUGUGAAUAGGUACUAUUCCUGGCCCUGAGUGAACACCACUCACUAAUCUUUCUAAUCCUUUUAGGUAGUUCUUCCCCCAGCUUCAGAUAGUUUCCUCUCAGUGAUCUGUACUCAGCUGAAUACUCAGAGGGUCCCUUUUUCUAGAUCUCUGAAAUUCUUUGUCCAUACCUCUCUCUUCUCCAGUGCUCGGUCCUGUAAAUUCAGUCCAUCUUGGUCUUCCCUGACCCUCAGCUCUCCUGAAUUUGGGGAAUCCGCUUGAUUCCACAUGGGAUCCUCCCCUGUUCUGUACCCUGGAAACACUUUAUUUAUUUAUUUUUUAGUGCCAUACCUGUGGCAUUUGGAAGUUCCUGGGCUAGGGGUCAAAUUGGAGCUACAGCUGCUGGCAUACACCACAGGCACAGCAACGACAGAUCUGAGCAGCAUCUGCAACCUCUCAUGGCUCACAGCAAUGCCAGAUCCUUAAGCCACUGAGUGAGGCCAGGGAUCAAAUUUAUGUCUUCAUGGGUACUAGACAGAUUUGUUUCCACUAAGCCACAAGAGGAGCUCCCUGGAAACACUAUCAGUAAUCUGGGAGUUCGCAUUGUGGCUCAGCGAAAAUGAAUCCAACUAGGAACCAUGAGAUUGCGGGAUUGAUCCCUCCCCUCGUUCAGUGGGUUAAGGAUCUGGCAUUGCCGUGAGAUGUGGUGUAGGUCGAAGAAUGGGGCUCAGAUCUGGUGUGGCUGUGGCUGUGGCGUAGGCUGGCAGCUGUAGCUCUGAUUGUACUCCUAGCCUGGGAACCUCCAAAGCCAAAAUAAAGAAAUAAUCUGGGACAGUUGUAAGGGGUAUCAUGCAUCAUUGUCCUUUGUUCUGCAUCCAGUGUCUUGAAAAGUGUUGGUUCAUAUGUUUUGUCUGCUUUUUUUUUUUUUCCUUGCUUGUUUUGCAUGGGAGGGUAUACUUGGUCCCUGUGUCCAUCUUGGCUGGAAGCAGGGGUUCCUUCAUAUCCUCUUCAAAUACAGAUAUUUACAUGGUUGCUGUUAGAGUAUAUGUGUCAUUGUACAGUCAAAUAAACAUUUUAUCUCAGGCAGACAGUUUCUGGAUUUCUAAAUAGUUUUCGUAAUUGCCCUUUUAGUAGCUGCAGAAUAUUCCACAGUGUGCCAAAUUUAUUUGAGAGCAGUUUAUUCAUUAAAGAAUGAUUGAUUCCAAGAAAGAAUUUCAGAUGGAUUUCUGACAAAAAGGCCUACUAAAUAAGAGUAAUACAUGAUGAAUUAAAAGGAAAAACAAGGUUGAGAAAAACCAGGGAAGCUGUAAUGCCAGCUAUGAUAAUAUCUGCUCUAAUUGAAAGUAAAAUUAGGCUUUGGGUAUUCUGACAGCCAAAUGUGCCAACUGUGACUACUUCCAUUACUUUCAUUGCCCAAAUGUAAAGGAGGCUUAAGGGGAACUAACAGUUACUGAAAGCCUACUAUGUGCUGCUUAACCAAAGGUCUAAUAAUACUUGACUUGAUUUUUGCUUUCCCCUCUUGGGACCUACCCUGAGUCAGAGAGCAAAUGACAGAAUAGGCUUUCUGAUUUCCACGAGUAAAAUAGCAUAGCAGGGACUCUGAGGCUAAAGCCAUUGAUCACAUGGGCUACCUCAUGGGGGACAUUUUCCCUGUACUAAAUUCCAAGAGAAAUUUCUCUCAUGGGGCAAUUUAUACAGGCGACCAUGCGCGACCCAAUCAUCAGAGUCUACCCAACAACUUUAUAUGAAGUACAGACGAGGUUUUGUAUUACUGGCUAUGUUUUUAAGUGACUUUUGGUGAGUGUAGUGUUAGGCUGCCUUCCAUUGAGGAGCAUUUAGGAAGAGCUAACUAAAAGGAAUCAUGUAGCUUUCUUGGGAUGUAAAUUAGCCAAGGAUGGAACUUACUUAGAGGAAAGCAUUGCUUUCUCCUUCUGCUUCUGUGAUCUUGAUUGCUCUUGAAUAGGUUUUGAAAAGACCUAGAUAGCUCAUAUCUCACUGUUUGUUUGAUGAGGGUUUAUUUUUCAUGAAUUGACUCCUCUUCCUCACAGACUACUCCACACUCCUUCCACUGUGAUGUCUAGGUCCCUAACUCUACUAAGAGCUCCAGGCAUCUUUGUGCAGGGGCCAUUGUCACUGGAAUUCUGGUGCUCUCCUCCUCUACCUCUCUUAGAUUGCUAACUUUCCUCACAAACUCUGCAGAGCUUCCUCUUCCUCCAGGGUGCUCUCCUUGUCCUUUUUUACUGUGUUUAACAUUUUAGCGAUGAUCUUCAUUAGUGCCCAGUUUAAUUUAUUCAGCACCUACUGCUCCGAGCUUGAUGCUCAGAGCUACCGUUCACAGAGAGGAAUGGCACCUAGUUCUGACAGCGGGUUGUUCACGCUUUAGUAGAAGGACAAUAAAGGAAAAUGAAUUAUUUUCAUAAAAAACAGUAACUUCAAAAUUAUACAAACAAAGAAAAUUUGAAUGCCCGUGUGGAAAAAUCAGGACAUAAUGCAUGGAGGAUGUAACUUUUGACCCCGAAAAUCAUUCAAACAUACACUUUCACCAGACUCAGUUUAAGCCCUCCUCAGACUUGCUCAGCCCCCUCAUGACCUUAGGGAUUGAGCUCUUUGCUUGGUGGGGAGCCCGGCUGCUGCCACAGUCACUUUACUUCUUGGCACUGCCUGUUGUCCCAGCACCCCCAGAGUGUGGGCCAGCUCCCAUCACAUGCACUGAAGAAAGAGCCUCUGCCAAUCCAGGCCCCAUGUCCCAUCUGACUGCCCACAAAGGCUGUGGUGUGUCCCUCCAUUUCUGGGCUCAGAUGUCAUGCCUUUCUGUUCCUGGCUGCCUGGGGGAUCUGGCCAGGUAACUCUGACGUAUAAAGGAGCUCAUGACCUGUGGAGUCCAUUUGACCAACAAGAGUUAGCUGAUGGGCAGAGGCAGGCUGGUAACCUCCCCUGUCUUCCUCUCCUUGAUGGACUCUCCCAGGGAAUAAAGUUCCAUGCCUGUCUGGACACCCCUCCUCACCACUGAGCCUGUGCACUGUGACCAGCUGCAUCAGUGCCACCUGGUACCCACUCUCAACCCUUCUCAGCUUCUUCACUCUUGCUGCCUUGAGAUGACACCUUCCAAUAAUGUCUUCACACGUGAGAUCUGCUGCAGGCUUUGUUUUCUAGAUUCUUUCUAGGGCAAAGAUUCAGGGUGAGGCUAUCCAAGCAGAGUACAGAGAGAAGAUGGUAGGUGUGCCGAGGUCCAACAUAGGUGGUUGACACAGAAUCUCUCACCCUAAUGUGUCCUGGGCUUCUCCACACCUGGAACUGCUUCAGCCAGGCCGGUUAUGGGGUACACCCUCCCUCUGCCCAUGCACACCCUUUGCAAUAGCACCAGUAUCCCCCUUUUCCCCUUAUUCUUUCUCUAUUUUCCAGGUAUGUAGUCCAUGUGGGAUUGUAAACCAGAAGUCAGAAAAAAGACAUUGUGCUUAUUCCUUAAGUUCUAGCUCAAACACAGUGACAUUCUUGAAGCCAAAAGUAAACUCUCUCUGCUGCCCGAAGUGUUUUUACAUCACUUUAUAGCAUUUAUCACACAUUGUCUUGUAUCAUAAAUGAUUCUUGGGUAUCAUCACAUCUACCAGAUGAAAAGCUCUUUGAGGGGAGAGAUCAUUUUUGAGUUUUGUACCUUCUGCAAAGCUUAUCAUAGUAUACAGCACGCAAUAGGCACUCAGUUAAAUAUACUUAGCAUCCUAUCCAUGAGGUUAAGAUAACCCUGUAGAGAUGCAUUCCUCAAACCAUCUCUACUAUCGUUAAAUUUGAAUUUUUCCAUGAAACCCAUCAGCACAUCUGGAAUGUUCUCACAGCUUGAUGCAAAGCCACACUCGUGUGACUCAGAUCCUGCUGUGUAUACCAAGCACCUGAAGGUGGGGAAUGAUUCUCAGAGGUUCCUGAGGUCGAGGGUAUUAGAAUCUAAUCCAACAACAUGGAAGGGAGUUUGGGCCCACUGAGCUACCAUACGGUAAAUGACGAGACAAACUUUUCAUUCAUUCAGGUAAUAUUUUUGAGCACUUACUUUGUGCCAGGCAUUGUGAUGAUCAAAUAAAUGAUUUUUAAAGUAUAAAUUAUAUAGGGGUAGCAGCUGUACUUGUCCAUAGGAACAUAAGAUUACUCAUUUCUUCCCCCCAGUUCUUAUUUAAAGAAUUCAUUUCCAGGGGAGUUCCCGUUGUGGCGCAGUGGUUAAUGAAUCCAACUAGGAACCAUGAGGUUGCGGGUUCAAUCCCUGGCCUUGCUCAGUGGGUUAAGGAUCCAACAUUGCCGUGAGCUGUGGUGUAGGUCACAGACGCAGCUCGGAUCCCAUGUUGCUGUGGCUGUGGUGUAGGCCAGCGACUACAGCUCUGAUUCGACCCCUAGCCUGGGAACCUCCAUAUGCUGUGGGAGGGGCCCUAGAAUAGGCAAAAAGACAAAAAAAUAAAAAUAAAUAAAUAAAUAAAAAAUUGGUUUCCAUGUUCCUAUACUUCUUGCAUGUAGUGAAUUCCAAGUAGGAAUUUUUGGAGUCAUUACAGCAGGAGAGUAAAGGAAGAAAUCAGAAAAGGACAUGAAAUUCUCUGGCCAGAAGUAUUAGUAAUUGCUAUUUUUAGUUGAAAAAGUGGACUCCAUAAGAAGGUAGAAGCUUGGCUGUGCUCAUAAAAAAAAAAAAAAAAAAAAA